AUGUUUGUGAUGUCACUUGGGAUAUAUUUUUAAAAGUGAACACAUCACGUUACCACAUAAAAAUAAUAAUAUGAUGUUUCAUCCAUUUGGUCUCUAAUAAGUUGUAAACGAUGAACAUCAAAUUUACUAAUUAAUCGUAUCAAACCCCCAUUGUUAAACAUAUUGUGUCACUGGACAAGCUAAUUCAGCUUGAUUCUUCUUAAGACAACAUGAUUGUAGUAUGCAACAUGAUUUCAGUAUACAACAUGAUUUCAGUAUACAACAUAAAUUGGUCCCAAGAAAAAAGAUCUGUUUUAAGAAGGAAAUAUGGCUACAAUUUACACUCUUCGGUAUCCCGUACCGUAGGUCGUUCCCUUGAUGAUUUCUCCCACAGACUCUUGGUAAACUUUCCAUUUCCUAUGCUUCGGAUUGAAGGGGAAUCUGUCAAAUAUUUGCUUAGAAACUGAAAUCAGUAUGUACUUCCAUUUAAUUCUAAAAGAACCGGUAAUUAUAAGCUCUAAUUGUGUGGUAGCAUCUAGGGUGAGCAUACAAAAUAAAAUCAUAUGCAUUUUGGGCUCUGACAAUUCAACUCUGUCAAACAACAAAGUGAGUAGAAAUAUGUGGAAUGGAUGGCAAUAUAUUCAAGUGAAAUUACUCACACUUGUAAUUUUAGUCUAUAAUGCCUUCUACCAUGGUCUACAACUUAUACAUAUGUCAUAUGCUAGUACUACACGGUGCAUAACUACAUUAUAGAAGACAAUGCAAUUGGCGACUGUUUUUUCAGGAGGGGUCAUGUUCAUAUUGUGAGAUGAACCAGUUGCAUAUAAAUCUCAAAAUACAGAACCAGGAAGAAAGGCAAGGAUACCCAGCAGUACAUACACCUAAGAGCACCUCAAUGUGACCAAUAAAUAUAAAAUAUGAAAGUAACAAAAGAGAGCAUGCUAGGAGUCUACAUCCAAUUUUCUGAUAAUUUUUAUUAUUCUGGCUCCCUCAUCUGCCAUGUUUAUUGUGCUUUUUAACUUCUAAAAAGAAAAUGGUUGCUCUUUUAUAAGUAGUAAAGAUAGCGAUGUAGGAAAACUCACUCACAAAUAGCUAAUCAUAAGGCUACUGAAUAUGAAACAAGAAAAAAAAACUGAUUUCAUCAAUAGCCAUGUUUCCUUACUUGCCAGUCGUAUAAAAUAGAGCUAAUUACUCGAGCUUCUUCUAAAAUUAGGAUCAAAGGCUAAUGCACGUCUUCACUAAUAUGAAAUACGCAUAUCCGAAACAAAACUUUGGAGGAAGACUUUAAGAAAUAAGACAUACGACAAAAGUAAUAACAAUGAAGGAAGCAAACAAAAGAGAUAGUUAAACCCAAAUAUGUCAAGCUGGCAGUUGUGUCCUUGACUUUUUUUUAGCUUAGUCCUUGAGUAUUAUGAAGAGGACAACUUUGUCCCCUUUGAAGAAACAAGUCAGACCUGCAUAUAUUGGACAAAUUUGUCCCCUUCGAAGAAACAAGUCAGGCCUGCAUAUAUAUGACCAAUUGUCACAUAUAUCUAGAGCAAAACAAACAAAAUGAAAGUACUGUUUUACCUUUUUACUAUGAAGGCUGCAUAUUCAUACAUUUUCCAUUGUCAUCACUACCAAGUUAACACAUGAGAGAUAUAUCAAUGCAUUAUCAACUUGAAUAUUUGGCUGCUCAAUUUCAACAGUACAAUCUAGUAGCAGAGGGCAACAAUAAAAGAAUUUACCUCUUGUCUCAUGUCCUUACUGAUGCCUUUGCCAUAUCAAAAAUCUUCCUCCAGCCUUCCAUUUGACCGUACUUCUGAAAUCACCGUGCUGCAGAAAGAAACACCAAGUUCAGCAAGCCAAAUGUUCAUUUCUAUUCUAUAUAUUACCAAACUAUAAAAUUUGUAAGUUAGGUCUCAAAAGUUCAGCGAG
rnacentral:lncRNA from 1 species